UACAGAGGUGGCAAGCGUUGUCCGGAAUUACUGGGCGUAAAGCGUGCGUAGGCGGUUUUUUAAGUCCGUUGUGAAGGCCCUGGGCUCAACCUGGGAAUGGCAGUGGAUACUGGAAAGCUAGAGUACGGUAGAGGAUGGUGGAAUUCCCGGUGUAGCGGUGAAAUGCGUAGAGAUCGGGAGGAACAUCAGUGGCGGAAGGCGGCCAUCUGGACCAGUACUGACGCUGAGGCACGAAAGCGUGGGGAGCAAACAGGG
rnacentral:rRNA from 1 species